UCGAGAAUUUUUCUCAAUGGGCGAAAGCCUGAAGGAGCGACGCCGCGUGGAGGACGAAGGUCUUCGGAUUGUAAACUCCUGUCAUGAGAGAACAAAGCCCUCGGAGUAACUGCCGUUGGGUUUGCUAGUAUCUCAAGAGGAAGAGACGGCUAACUCUGUGCCAGCAGCCGCGGUAAUACAGAGGUCUCAAGCGUUGUUCGGAUUCAUUGGGCGUAAAGGGUGCGCAGGCGGCGGGGCAAGUCGGAUGUGAAAUCUCGGGGCUUAACCCCGAAACUGCAUUCGAUACUGCCUUGCUCGAGAGCUGGAGAGGAGACUGGAAUUCCCGGUGUAGCGGUGAAAUGCGUAGAUAUCGGGAGGAACGCCGAAGGCGAAGGCAAGUCUCUGGACAGUUUCUGACGCUCAUGCACGAAGGCCAGGGGAGCAAACCG
rnacentral:rRNA from 1 species